rfam:Felis catus isolate Cinnamon breed Abyssinian chromosome B2, whole genome shotgun sequence.
AAAAAGGCCCUUUUUAGGGCCCCCAAGUUUUCGUUAAAAGGGCUUU